UACGGAGGGUCCGGAGCGUUAUCCGGAAUCAUUGGGUUUAAAGGGUCCGUAGGCGGCCCUGUAAGUCAGUGGUGAAAUCUCCCGGCUCAACCGGGAAAUUGCCAUUGAUACUGCAGGGCUUGAAUUAUUGGGAAGUAACUAGAAUAUGUAGUGUAGCGGAUGAAAUGCUUAGAUAUUACAUGGAAUACCGAUUGCGAAGGCAGGUUACUACUAAUGGAUUGACGCUGAUGGACGAAAGCGUGGGUAGCGAACAGG
rnacentral:rRNA from 1 species